rnacentral:rRNA from 1 species
GACGAACGCUGGCGGCGUGCCUAAUACAUGCAAGUCGAACGCUGAAGGAGGAGCUUGCUCUUCUGGAUGAGUUGCGAACGGGUGAGUAACGCGUAGGUAACCUGCCUGGUAGCGGGGGAUAACUAUUGGAAACGAUAGCUAAUACCGCAUAACAGUAGAUGUUGCAUGACAUUUACUUAAAAGGUGCGAUUGCAUCACUACCAGAUGGACCUGCGUUGUAUUAGCUAGUUGGUGGGGUAACGGCUCACCAAGGCGACGAUACAUAGCCGACCUGAGAGGGUGAUCGGCCACACUGGGACUGAGACACGGCCCAGACUCCUACGGGAGGCAGCAGUAGGGAAUCUUCGGCAAUGGACGGAAGUCUGACCGAGCAACGCCGCGUGAGUGAAGAAGGUUUUCGGAUCGUAAAGCUCUGUUGUAAGAGAAGAACGAGUGUGAGAGUGGAAAGUUCACACUGUGACGGUAGCUUACCAGAAAGGGACGGCUAACUACGUG